rnacentral:rRNA from 1 species
UACGUAGGGUGCAAGCGUUAAUCGGAAUUACUGGGCGUAAAGCGGGCGCAGGCGGUUAUAUAAAAAAGAUGUGAAAUCCCCGGGCUCCACCUGGGAAAUGCAUUUGUGACUGUAUAGAUAGAGUACGGCAGAGGGGGAUGGAAUUCCGCGUGUAGCAGUGAAAUGCGUAGAUAUGCGGAGGAACACCGAUGGCGAAGGCAAUCCCCUGGGCCUGUACUGACGCUCAUGCACGAAAGCGUGGGGAGCAAACAGGAUUAGAUACCCUGGUAGUCCACGCCCUAAACGAUGUCAACUGGUUGUUGGGUCUUCACUGACUCAGUAACGAAGCUAACGCGUGAAGUUGACCGCCUGGGGAGUACGGCCGCAAGGUUG